rnacentral:snRNA from 9 species
AUACCUACCCUGCGUCGGGAUACCGUGAUCAUGCAGGCGGUUCCCCCAGGGCGUGGCUGCUCCACUGUACUGCGGAGUGGUUGACCCUUGCGAUUAUUUUUAUUUUUACACACACACACAUUUUAUUUUAUUUUAAUAUCCGGACUGUGUAUUCAA